rnacentral:rRNA from 1 species
GCGAGCGUCUCAUCUGAGUUCCGGCGUGUAAUGCGUAGUCCGUUCCAGUUCCGCCUGCGAGCCUGCCUAGUGUAUAUCAAUCGAGUUUCGGCCUGUAAUUGUAUAUCAAUCGAGUUUCGGCUUGAUUACCGUAUGUCAAUCGUAUUUCACCUUGAUUCCGCUAUGUGUAUACCGACCCGCUUGCUUUGUGAAAGGAGUAUGGGGAAUUUAUUUCCUUCCCAAAACCGUAUGGAGGGCUAUCCGGUGCCAGCACCCGCGGUAAUUCCAACUCCAAUAGCGUAUAUUAAAAUUGUUGCAGUUAAAACGCUCGUAGUUGAAUUUCAAAGAAUCGAUAUUUUAAGCAACGCUUCUAGCUUAAUCCACAUAACUGAUACUUCGUAUCGACUUUGUGCGCAUUUUGCUAUUAUGUGUUCUUUUAAUUAAAAUGAUUCUUUUUAAGGACUUUCUUUGCUUCGGCUUGGAAGUCCUAAACUAUAUCCCCUUCGGUCGAUACUCCUAGCUAGGCCGCCCGGGCGAUUUUAUAAGUACUAGCUGUUUUGGGUUAAACUCGCAAGUUUUACCUAUCUCGACACAAUCCGGACAGUACAAGUAUUCCGGCCCAAGUUUGAUUGUCACUAGCGGAGC